rnacentral:rRNA from 1 species
UGGCUCAGAUUGAACGCUGGCGGCAGGCCUAACACAUGCAAGUCGAGCGGUAGAGAGGUGCUUGCAUCUCUUGAGAGCGGCGGACGGGUGAGUAAUGCCUAGGAAUCUGCCUAGUGGUGGGGGAUAACGUUCGGAAACGGACGCUAAUACCGCAUACGUCCUACGGGAGAAAGCGGGGGAUCUUCGGACCUCGCGCCAUUAGAUGAGCCUAGGUCGGAUUAGCUAGUUGGUGAGGUAAUGGCUCACCAAGGCGACGAUCCGUAACUGGUCUGAGAGGAUGAUCAGUCACACUGGAACUGAGACACGGUCCAGACUCCUACGGGAGGCAGCAGUGGGGAAUAUUGGACAAUGGGCGAAAGCCUGAUCCAGCCAUGCCGCGUGUGUGAAGAAGGUCUUCGGAUUGUAAAGCACUUUAAGUUGGGAGGAAGGGUAGUAACCUAAUACGUUGCUACUUUGACGUUACCGACAGAAUAAGCACCGGCUAACUUCGUG